UACGGAGGGUGCAAGCAUUAAUCGGAUUUAUUGGGCGUAAAGGGCGCGUAGGCGGAAAGAUAAGUCAGAUGUGAAAUCCCGGGGCUCAACCCCGGAACAGCAUUUGAAACUGUUUUCCUUGAGGCUAGAUGGAGAAAACGGAAUUCCACAAGUAGCGGUGAAAUGCGUAGAUAUGUGGAAGAACACCGGUGGCGAAGGCGGUUUUCUAAUUUAGACCUGACGCUGAGGCGCGAAAGCAAGGGGAUCAAACAGG
rnacentral:rRNA from 1 species